GCGUGGCAGCGGCGGCGAUCUUGGAGGAGGGGGCAGGGCGUAAUCCUGACAAGGGCCAAGCGUGAACUAGCCAUUCCGGUUGAAUGAAGAUGUCUGUAUGAAGAAUGUGGUAAUAAGAAGAUAAUGACGUACGGAGAGAGAUGUCGCC
rnacentral:rRNA from 1 species